AGAGUUUGAUCAUGGCUCAGGAUGAACGCUAGCUACAGGCUUAACACAUGCAAGUCGAGGGGAAACGACAUCGAAAGCUUGCUUUUGAUGGGCGUCGACCGGCGCACGGGUGAGUAACGCGUAUCCAACCUGCCCAUCACUUGGGGAUAACCUUGCGAAAGUAAGACUAAUACCCAAUGACGUCUCUAGAAGACAUCUGAAAGAGAUUAAAGAUUUAUCGGUGAUGGAUGGGGAUGCGUCUGAUUAGCUUGGUUGGCGGGGUAACGGCCCACAAGGCGACGAUCAGUAGGGGUUCUGGAGAGGAAGGUCCCCCANACUUGGAACUGAGACACGGUCCAAACGUCCUACGGGAGGCA
rnacentral:rRNA from 1 species